rnacentral:lncRNA from 1 species
UAAUUAUCGCCUCAAGGAUGCAACGAUGGGAGACGUUGAUGGAUUAGGUGUUGAAAAACGUAAUGUUGAGACGAUGAACGGGAUAUGAAAUUGUAAAAAUGGGAAUCUGUGAAACUGAAUGGAGGAAGAAGAGAAAUAAGUAUGGAUAAAAGAGAAAGAGGAAAAUGUUAUCGGCAAAUAAAAUUCUAGUCAAGAAAUUGAUUUAAAUAAUAAAUACAAGUUGAGUCUUUUUAUUUUCUAUAAAAUUAAUUACUUGACUCAGACCCAUUACCGUACAAAAUUGAAAAAAAUAGUACCCAUGAAAAUAUUAUUAUCUUUUUCAAAAUCCAAAACCAUUUUUUUACACACAGUCGCCUUAAAUGGAUCAUAUCUGUGUUUAAAGCCCAUGAAGGAUGAACACUUGUCAUGUAAGUUCUUUUGUUAACUCUUUAAGAGCCAGUUUGAUAUGAAUGAUAUGUGAAGUGUUAUGAACUAUAUACUUCUUAUUUUACAAAUUUAUAAUACUAAGUCCUUCAAAAUGUUAAACCAAUAUGUUUUAACAAUAAAUAAUAAAUAAUGACAAGAAUAAACUUACAUACCCCUUCUUUCAUCUAAUGGAGCCAUUUUGAUAUUCUUAAUAUUGAUACUUAUAAUUUGUUCUUUUAAUAGAUGACAUUCUCAAUGGUCUAGAAUAAUAAAUAAACUUUUUGAGAUUUACUUAGUUAGUCCAUAUAUUUAUAGUUUUUUUCGUGUGUGUGUGGAUAGGUUUUCGAUCUUGUGCUCAGAUAUCUAUUUGAUUAAAUAUACUUAUAUACAUGUUUAUAAUUAUAUAAUGAGACACAUAUGUACUUACAUCUUUUAUCGGAUUGAGGACACUUGACUACGUAAUCAUUUUUAUAAGCUGGUUUUGUACAAAACUUGCACACAAGUCCCUUCUUGAACACCCU